rnacentral:pre_miRNA from 1 species
CUUGUACUCCCUCCGUCUGAAAAUACUUGUCAUUGAAAUGGAUGUAUCUAGAUGUAUUUUAGUUCUAGACACAUCCAUUUUGAUGACAAGUAAUUCCGGGCGGAGGGAGUACUUG